ensembl:miRNA
UACUAGGUUGGUGCAAAAGUAAUUGUGGGUUUUGCUUUUAAAGACAAUGACAAAGAUUGCAAUGACUUUUGCACCAACCUAA